GAACGCGAAGAACCUUACCCGGGCUUGAAUUGCGGAGGAAGGAUUUAGAGAUAAUGACGCCCUUCGGGGUCUCUGUGAAGGUGCUGCAUGGUUGUCGUCAGCUCGUGCCGUGAGGUGUCGGCUUAAGUGCCAUAACGAGCGCAACCCCUCUCUUCAGUUGCCAUCAGGUUAAGCUGGGCACUCUGGAGACACUGCCACCGUAAGGUGUGAGGAAGGUGGGGAUGACGUCAAAUCAGCACGGCCCUUACGUCCGGGGCUACACACGUGUUACAAUGGCCGGUACAGAGGGACGGUGUAAUGCAAAUUGCAUCCAAUCUUGAAAGCCGGUCCCAGUUCGGACUGGGGUCUGCAACCCGACCCCACGAAGCUGGAUUCGCUAGUAAUCGCGCAUCAGCCAUGGCGCGGUGAAUACGUUCCCGGGUCUUGUACACACC
rnacentral:rRNA from 1 species